GGAGUCAGCCAAGAGGUUCCUCCGAGGGUCUCUGUCGUACUGUUGCCAGCCGGAAACGUACAUAGAUACUCACACACACACACACACACACACACACACACACACACACACACACACACACACGAAGAUUUAUGUCCAUAUGUACGCGUUUUAAAGUUUGUACGGUGAAAGCGAAACACACACACACACACACACACACACACACACACACACACACACAAGGACAGGUAUUAGAUUAAAGAUGACAAACAAACAAGUAAAUCAGAAGACAGACCCAGUACGCACCAUAAUAAUAAGAAUCAGUUGUUUUUUUCCUAACAUUUUCUUUUUCCCUUUUCUCUAAUAAUGACAAAUUUUAUUCAAUGUGUGCUGACAUAUACUAUAAUAGCUCUGGUUGUUUUUCUUUAUAUACUAAUUACAAUACGUGGUCUGCAGUCUUCUUUUUACUAACGUGUGUGUGUGUGUGUGUGUGUGUGUGUGUGUGUGUGUGUGUGUGUGU